rnacentral:rRNA from 1 species
GACGAACGCUGGCGGCGUGCCUAAUACAUGCAAGUCGAACGCACUCUCGUUUAGAUUGAAGGAGCUUGCUCCUGAUUGAUAAACAUUUGAGUGAGUGGCGGACGGUGAGUAACACGUGGGUAACCUGCCCUAAAGUGGGGGAUAACAUUUGGAAACAGAUGCUAAUACCGCAUAAAACCUAAACACCGCAUGGUGUAGGGUUGAAAGAUGGUUUCGGCUAUCACUUUAGGAUGGACCCGCGGUGCAUUAGUUAGUUGGUGAGGUAAAGGCUCACCAAGACCGUGAUGCAUAGCCGACCUGAGAGGGUAAUCGGGCCACACUGGGACUGAGACACGGCCCAGACUCCUACGGGAGGCAGCAGUAGGGAAUCUUCCACAAUGGACGAAAGUCUGAUGGAGCAACGCCGCGUGAGUGAAGAAGG